UCCCACGGUCCCACCCCUCCCGUCGCCCGCCUCUCACCGCCCCCACCCCUCCACUCCAACGAUUCCGCCCCGACGCCCUCCCUUCCCCGACGCGCCGUCCCUGCCGCCGCCGCCGUCGUCUCUGUCCCGGGGGGGCUUCUGGAUCUGCGGGCUCUGUGUCAGCAGCGCGGUGCGCACCACUCAUCCGACGCAUCCAUCCGAGAGGACCUCCUCUCUGCGACGGGGGUCGACAACGCCGUGCCCCACUGCCCGUCCGCCGCCUCAACGCAGCCGUGCCCCACUGCAGGGCCAUGCAAACCCGCCUGCCGCGCGUCGUCCUCGCCGGCCGAACCGUCCCCGCCGGAUGGAUCCGUGCCCGUCGCGGUGGAUGUCGGUGUUCCCGCCGCGCUCGGUACCACAGUGUCGACUGCUUUGAGAAGCUCGAGCAGAUCGGGGAGGGCACCUAGGGCAAUUGAUCAUGGCGAAGGAGACGGAGAUGAAGGAAAUCGUGGCAGUCAAGAAUAUCCACAUGGACAACAAGCGUGAGGGCGGCUAGAGAGAGACGAGCAGGGGAAGCAAGGCCUGUGUUAAUUGUUUCUGGGAGAUUAAACUCCGGUUGCAGAUUCACUACGUCAGCUAAGAAUUUCAGAAGCUGCAUCACAACCCUAGGAUAAUUAUGGUACUAAAUGGUGGUCAGGACAAUCUGGUUAAGCUAGGCGGAUGGUAAUGUUGGUAUCAAUGUUGGAUCGUCAACAUGGCCUUCCUGGUUUGCCACGUGAGCUGAUUAUAAGGUGGUCCCUCACAAUAAGCCUAAAAAGCAAGACUUCCUUUGUUCUUUGGAAUCUACAAUGUCUGCAUGUUUCUUUAGAAUUGUGUUUUUAGAAUAAUAAAGUUUAGGAGGCCUUUGGUCAAAGCAAACUUAUCUGGGGACAAACUGCAUUCCUGAAAGGCAUUGGAAUUAUAUCACUUUUAUAAUCAGUUUCUAACAAUUGUUUCCAUUACUUUAGCAGAAAAAGCUACUUGUACUCCCAUGGGUAUGUAUCACUAGAAAAUCUAGCUCGUCAUGACUCAUGAACCUUCUCUGUGGUUUUAGCAUUACCACACAGCUUGAGUAGCAGUACCUAGAGUUGGAGUAUAUGCACAAUCCCUGAACUACCACUAUUAGAAGAAAGCUUAUUUCACUAUAUCUAUGAGUAGAUGAAUUAAUGGAGGGUAACUCUAUGAAUCCUAAUUAGCGAGUGGAGGCUAACGACUAAAGGCACACUGAAGAGAACCUAUCGAGUUCGACUACCAGAUGAACGAAGGCGGAUCCUGAAAGAGAUCGCUUCUGUUCUGUCCCAAGAUCAUUUUGUGGGUGCUUCGACUCACAAGGGUUGAAAACUAAGGUGGGAAAGUGCUCAUGGUGAGAGUUUGUGCUGCUACAACGUGAAAGCUUAGUUCGAUGAGCUCCCCACUCCUCACCUGGUUCUAGAGAUUACACCAUUUCCCGCUGGACAUCUUACCGAUAAUGACUACCGUAAGGCGGAGAGGCUUGAGAUGGUGUCGAGGCUGAGUGCUUCCAUUUCAAAACUAGGGAUUGAUUUUCUAUUUCCCUAAUAUUUUCUUUGCGCAAGUUGUAAAUCGUUUACCACUUACCAGUGGGCCUGUAAAUUGAUGCAGUUGGCUAAGAACUACUUGUAUUCCCUGAGUUUUGCUCAGAUUGCCUAUUAAUUUGAGGUAAAAAACGCAUUGUUUCAGAGUCCUUGGCUUAUAACUGUAUACUCAAGGGACUGAUUCUUGGGUUUUAUAGAGUAUAUAAUUAUUAUUGUCUUAUUUCAGUCCUAUUAUUCUGCAGUACACACCAGUGCUGUGAGUAGUGUGAAAUUUGAUUUGGCCAAAAAUUGGCUUGGUUUGCUAAUGAUGGGAUGAGGGAGCUAUGACCAUGCAAGUGGGUGAAGUUGCCCGUAUCCGGGUAGUCUCGUUUGAUAUGUUAAAUUAAUAUUAAUAUUGUUUGUUUUAUUGAUUCAUCAUACAUUUCAUCGCUACUGCAACUUUGAAAUGUGCUAUUUAUGGCACUUCUAUCUCUCAUUGGAAGUAACUUGUCCAAGAACAAAAAUAUAUGAUAUGAUUGUGGACUGUUAGCCUUUGUAAUGCAAUUUCUUUGCCUGAUAAACUGAUAAUGUGCUUCACAGUUGGUAUUCUUUAGUUCAAAAUAAUUUCUGUUAGCUCUAUCCCGGCACGUACCUAAUAUUUGAGUAUUCUUGCUUUAGUACACCCCGGACUAUGCUUAUGGAGCUAGCGGGUUUCCAGACUGAGGAAUUCAACCGGACUCAGUGCUUGCAUUCGAGAUUGAAGUCCUAGCUCAGUGCCCAGUAAUUUGCAGUGCAAUCCUGGAUGGAGCUAUGGAGCAUAGGCCAAUGCCUAAGUAUUGGAAUAAUUCUAUUGUCACCUCAUGCUGCAUACAACAUACUGAUGUUCUUAGUGAAUCCUGUGAAACUUUAACCCUGUGUGGCCGUGAUAUAUCAAGUUCAUGGAGUUUCUUGUGGGGCGACUCUCA